AGAUGUGAGGGAAAUCUGGCUGCAACAUCUGUCACCCCAGUGAUGGCCAGGCUUGAUUAGGCUGAUCUGGCUGGUUAGGUGGGUGACCCCUUUAUCCCUCACCACUCCAUGCGCAUCCUUUUGAAAGUUGUGUGCUUUGAUCGAAGAGGACGACUUUCCCCAAACAGAUGGACUGGUCUUCCUUGGAGGAUAUAUGUGUAGCUGCACUCCCCUGCUUGAACCACCAACCAUUCUCUAAAAUACACACAACCAAUACACACAAUUGCAUGGGAGCCUUCACUGGCUCACCACAUAAUUUGUCAAA
rnacentral:snRNA from 1 species